AGCCCAGAGCCUGAAUCAGUGUGUGUGUUAGUGGAAGCGUCUGGAAAGGCGCGCGAUACAGGGUGACAGCCCCGUACACAAAAAUGCACAUGCUGUGAGCUCGAUGAGUAGGGCGGGACACGUGGUAUCCUGUCUGAAUAUGGGGGGACCAUCCUCCAAGGCUAAAUACUCCUGACUGACCGAUAGUGAACCAGUACCGUGAGGGAAAGGCGAAAAGAACCCCGGCGAGGGGAGUGAAAAAGAACCUGAAACCGUGUACGUACAAGCAGUGGGAGCACGCUUAGGCGUGUGACUGCGUACCUUUUGUAUAAUGGGUCAGCGACUUAUAUUCUGUAGCAAGGUUAACCGAAUAGGGGAGCCGAAGGGAAACCGAGUCUUAACUGGGCGUUAAGUUGCAGGGUAUAGACCCGAAACCCGGUGAUCUAGCCAUGGGCAGGUUGAAGGUUGGGUAACACUAACUGGAGGACCGAACCGACUAAUGUUGAAAAAUUAGCGGAUGACUUGUGGCUGGGGGUGAAAGGCCAAUCAAACCGGGAGAUAGCUGGUUCUCCCCGAAAGCUAUUUAGGUAGCGCCUCGUGAAUUCAUCUCCGGGGGUAGAGCACUGUUUCGGCAAGGGGGUCAUCCCGACUUACCAACCCGAUGCAAACUGCGAAUACCGGAGAAUGUUAUCACGGGAGACACACGGCGGGUGCUAACGUCCGUCGUGAAGAGGGAAACAACCCAGACCGCCAGCUAAGGUCCCAAAGUCAUGGUUAAGUGGGAAACGAUGUGGGAAGGCCCAGACAGCCAGGAUGUUGGCUUAGAAGCAGCCAUCAUUUAAAGAAAGCGUAAUAGCUCACUGGUCGAGUCGGCCUGCGCGGAAGAUGUAACGGGGCUAAACCAUGCACCGAAGCUGCGGCAGCGACGCUGAUGCGUUGUUGGGUAGGGGAGCGUUCUGUAAGCCUGUGAAGGUGUGCUGUGAGGCAUGCUGGAGGUAUCAGAAGUGCGAAUGCUGACAUAAGUAACGAUAAAGCGGGUGAAAAGCCCGCUCGCCGGAAGACCAAGGGUUCCUGUCCAACGUUAAUCGGGGCAGGGUGAGUCGACCCCUAAGGCGAGGCCGAAAGGCGUAGUCGAUGGGAAACAGGUUAAUAUUCCUGUACUUGGUGUUACUGCGAAGGGGGGACGGAGAAGGCUAUGUUGGCCGGGCGACGGUUGUCCCGGUUUAAGCGUGUAGGCUGGUUUUCCAGGCAAAUCCGGAAAAUCAAGGCUGAGGCGUGAUGACGAGGCACUACGGUGCUGAAGCAACAAAUGCCCUGCUUCCAGGAAAAGCCUCUAAGCAUCAGGUAACAUCAAAUCGUACCCCAAACCGACACAGGUGGUCAGGUAGAGAAUACCAAGGCGCUUGAGAGAACUCGGGUGAAGGAACUAGGCAAAAUGGUGCCGUAACUUCGGGAGAAGGCACGCUGAUAUGUAGGUGAAGUCCCUUGCGGAUGGAGCUGAAAUCAGUCGAAGAUACCAGCUGGCUGCAACUGUUUAUUAAAAACACAGCACUGUGCAAACACGAAAGUGGACGUAUACGGUGUGACGCCUGCCCGGUGCCGGAAGGUUAAUUGAUGGGGUCAGCGCAAGCGAAGCUCUUGAUCGAAGCCCCGGUAAACGGCGGCCGUAACUAUAACGGUCCUAAGGUAGCGAAAUUCCUUGUCGGGUAAGUUCCGACCUGCACGAAUGGCGUAAUGAUGGCCAGGCUGUCUCCACCCGAGACUCAGUGAAAUUGAACUCGCUGUGAAGAUGCAGUGUACCCGCGGCAAGACGGAAAGACCCCGUGAACCUUUACUAUAGCUUGACACUGAACAUUGAGCCUUGAUGUGUAGGAUAGGUGGGAGGCUUUGAAGUGUGGACGCCAGUCUGCAUGGAGCCGACCUUGAAAUACCACCCUUUAAUGUUUGAUGUUCUAACGUUGACCCGUGAUCCGGGUUGCGGACAGUGUCUGGUGGGUAGUUUGACUGGGGCGGUCUCCUCCUAAAGAGUAACGGAGGAGCACGAAGGUUGGCUAAUCCUGGUCGGACAUCAGGAGGUUAGUGCAAUGGCAUAAGCCAGCUUGACUGCGAGCGUGACGGCGCGAGCAGGUGCGAAAGCAGGUCAUAGUGAUCCGGUGGUUCUGAAUGGAAGGGCCAUCGCUCAACGGAUAAAAGGUACUCCGGGGAUAACAGGCUGAUACCGCCCAAGAGUUCAUAUCGACGGCGGUGUUUGGCACCUCGAUGUCGGCUCAUCACAUCCUGGGGCUGAAGUAGGUCCCAAGGGUAUGGCUGUUCGCCAUUUAAAGUGGUACGCGAGCUGGGUUUAGAACGUCGUGAGACAGUUCGGUCCCUAUCUGCCGUGGGCGCUGGAGAACUGAGGGGGGCUGCUCCUAGUACGAGAGGACCGGAGUGGACGCAUCACUGGUGUUCGGGUUGUCAUGCCAAUGGCACUGCCCGGUAGCUAAAUGCGGAAGAGAUAAGUGCUGAAAGCAUCUAAGCACGAAACUUGCCCCGAGAUGAGUUCUCCCUGACUCCUUGAGAGUCCUGAAGGAACGUUGAAGACGACGACGUUGAUAGGCCGGGUGUGUAAGCGCAGCGAUGCGUUGAGCUAACCGGUACUAAUGAACCGUGAGGCUUAACCUUACAACGCCGAAG
rnacentral:rRNA from 1 species